GAUCUUGGCUCAGGACGAACGCUGGCGGCGUGCUUAACACAUGCAAGUCGAACGAGAAUCUACUGAAGGAGUUUUCGGACAACGGAUGUAGAGGAAAGUGGCGGACGGGUGAGUAACGCGUGAGGAACAUGCCUUGAAGAGGGGGACAACAGUUGGAAACGACUGCUAAUACCGCAUGACGCAUAGGGGUCGCAUGAUCUUUAUGCCAAAGAUUUAUCGCUUCAAGAUGGCCUCGCGU
rnacentral:rRNA from 1 species